rnacentral:lncRNA from 1 species
GAGCCUAAACAUGCAAAUUUAACCAUUUUUAUACAUAUAAUUCCACUAUUUACUUAUAUGUUCAUUCAAAGCUGUCUACUUGAGUCAUUGUUACUAAAUAAUAUAUAUCUUGAGCUAGAAAACUCCAAAUUAAGAUCCACUAAUUUUUCCUGAAACUAGACUCACAUAUCUUCUUACCAUAAAAUUUUUAUAAUUUUUGGUUUAG